CGGGCAACGGGGGCGUCGUCUCGGCGCUUCCACGGGGGCGCAUAAUCAAAGCGGUCAGCUUUUCAACUUUGCGGGGGAGUUUUGGAGCCAAUCCCAGCUGGCAUCAGGCAAGAGACGGGGUAAAUCCUGGAACGGUCAUCACUCAAUUGCACUGCGGACUUAGAACCAUCCUGCUGUCUUGGAGCGUGGGAGGGAACCCACGCAGGCUCGGGGGAGAACACGCAGACCCCACACAGCCGCUGGGCGGGUUCGAGCCCAGAACCUUUUGCUGUGAGGCAUCAUUGCGAACCGCCACACCACCGUGGCGCUCCACUCUUGAGUGCCAGUUGACUAAAAUGUUGGUUGGUACAGGACAGAUUGUUAAUCCGUGCUGAAUCUCUAUAGACUGCGUUGGUUUGAGGGCCUGAGACUAACUCCAACCUAAACCUGACUUGAUUUUUAACCCUGAACCGAUGCAGCGAAAUCUACAGGCUACGGAAAUAGUUCUUCGUGAGCGCCGAUGGCUAAAUAUUCACUUGACAGGCCGACAGUGUCUGGUCCGAUUUGGUUUGAAACUUCCUGUAGAUGCAGUGACGUGCAAAACAGGCAACCGGGCAGUCUGGUGAACAACAGUUACCACAACCGAAAGGUUCCGCCAAUGAAGAAAGGCGUGUUCCUGUUUUUGUCACAGUGUCAGCGACCAGCCGAUGACCUCCGGUUGGCUCCAAUGAUGCAGCCCCUACGUGACACUUCAUGGCGGUUGAGUAUGUCAAUGAAAGGACUAUAAUUCAGUCCGAAUUUGGGUUAUCUGGGAAUCUGCUUUUCAGCCCAGAGAAUCCGUUCAUAAUUAAAGACAAAGGACUGAUUGUGUAGCAGAAUUCUGUGUAAAAAUAAAGUGCUUGAAGACUGAUGCUUAAUAAAUGUCAGGGUGAAAUUUAGCCCCUGUUUCUUUUCUAAAGCA